rnacentral:rRNA from 1 species
AGAAUCAACGCUGGCGGCGUGCCUAACACAUGCAAGUCGAACGAGAAAGUGGGAGCAAUCCCACGAGUAAAGUGGCGCACGGGUGAGUAACACGUGACUAACCUACCCUUGAGUGGGGGAUAACCUAGGGAAACCUGGGCUAAUACCGCAUAAUACCUACGGGUCAAAGGAGCAAUUCGCUUUAGGAGGGGGUCGCGGCAGAUUAGUUAGUUGGCGGGGUAAUGGCCCACCAAGACAGUGAUCUGUAUCCGGCCUGAGAGGGCGCACGGACACACUGGAACUGAAACACGGUCCAGACUCCUACGGGAGGCAGCAGUGGGAAUUUUGCGCAAUGGGGGAAACCCUGACGCAGCAACGCCGCGUGGAGGAUGAAGCCCCUUGGGGCGUAAACUCCGUUUCGAUCGGGAAGAUAAUGACGGUACCGGAAGAAGAAGCCCGGCUAACUUCGCGCCAGCAGCCGC